rnacentral:rRNA from 1 species
UACGAGGGGGGCAAGCGUUGUUCGGAAUUAUUGGGCGUAAAGGGCGCGUAGGCGGUGCGGUAAGUCUGAUGUGAAAUCUCCGGGCUCAACUCGGAGUCUGCAUCAGAAACUGCCGUGCUCGAGUGUGGGAGAGGUGCGUGGAAUUCCUGGUGUAGCGGUGAAAUGCGUAGAUAUCAGGAGGAACACCAGUGGCGAAGGCAAUCCCCUGGGCCUGCACUGACGCUCAUGCACGAAAGCGUGGGGAGCAAACAGG